CGGCCACAACAUGCUGGUCCAAAUCCAGCUGCUGUGGCUGCUCUCAGCUCUCACAGGAUGCGAGGGUGAGGUGCGGCUUGUGGAGUCCGGAGGAGGCGUGAAAUAUUCCGGGGAAUCCCUGCGUCUCUCGUGCCAGGCCUCGGGGUUCAGCUUUGGGAGCUCUGCUAUGAACUGGUACCGGGAGGCUCCAGGAAAGUCCCGUGAGUUUGUCGCCAGCAUCAGUGCGGAUGGGAGUGACAAAAAUUACGCGGAUGCGGUGAGGGAACGAUUCACCGUCUCCAGGGACAACGCCAACAGCCGGCUGUACCUGCAGAUGGACAGGCUGAGAGUGGAGGACACGGCCCGGUAUAUCUGCCACGUUCACAGUGAGGGGAAGCGAGUGAGGGCCCAGACAUAAACCCCUCGACCCCUCCUGCAUCAAACGCCAGGAAGCUACUGUGGCUGCCGCCACCGCUGCUAAACAGCAGCACGUGAGGGGAAAUAGUGUCUAGCCCGUCGGUGGCCAGCACACCGGAAAUUUCUCU